UACGUAGGGUGCAAGCGUUAAUCGGAAUUACUGGGCGUAAAGCGUGCGCAGGCGGUUGUGCAAGACCGAUGUGAAAUCCCCGGGCUCAACCUGGGAAUGGCAUUGGUGACUGCACGGCUAGAGUGUGUCAGAGGGGGGUAGAAUUCCACGUGUAGCAGUGAAAUGCGUAGAGAUGUGGAGGAAUACCGAUGGCGAAGGCAGCCCCCUGGGUUAACACUGACGCUCAGGCACGAAAGCGUGGGGAGCAAACAGG
rnacentral:rRNA from 1 species